UGCCAGCCGCCGCGGUAAUACGGAGGGAGCUAGCGUUAUUCGGCAUCACUGGGCUUAAAGCGUGCGUAGGCGGCUUGGUAGGUGUGAUGUGAAAGCCCACGGCUCAACCGUGGAAUUGCGUCGCAAACCCCCAAGCUUGAGGAAGACAGGGGUGUUGGGAACUUAUGGUGGAGCGGUGAAAUGCGUUGAUAUCACAGGGAACACCGGUGGCGAAGGCGCAACACUGGGUCUUUUCUGAUGCUGAGGCACGAAAGCUAGGGUAGCGAACGGGAUUAGAUA
rnacentral:rRNA from 1 species